rnacentral:lncRNA from 1 species
GUGUGUGUUAGGCCUAGGCGUUUUCUAAAACCUCAGCGCUGUUAGUACCCCGGGGAACUUGGAGAGGGAAGUAGGCGCUCAAAAAGGAGACGUGGGAAAAAGAAAAGGCGACGUGGGAGAAUGGGCAAGCUGCUCAGGGAGUGGAAACUUAACGGAACAAAAACGCACUUCUUGGAAGUUCUUUUUUGCGUCUUUACAAAGUGUGAUUAAAAAAUACAGUGAGUGCUGCUGCCACCUGUCAUCCAACAAAAAAGUGGAGGCAUAAAAGUAUUCCGACAUGUCCUCAUCCACAUUAUUCACCAAGUCUGGCACCAUGCAACCUCUGGCUCUUCGCCAAAGUCAAAAUGACCAUGAAAGGGAAAUGUUUUGCAUCGAUUCAGGACAACAAGAUAGCAAAGUAAAGGGCAACUAAAGACACAAAAGAGGACUUCCAGAACUGCUUCAGAAAGUGGAAAGAAUGAUGGGAUGAGAAACCAAGACCCAAAGGAGGUCACACAAUUGCCCGAAGUCACACAUUCGAACACUGUCCUAGACCUGUUUUAAGAAUCAGCUAUGAGGGAGAGCUGAAGUUCUGGGGUGAAGCCUGAACCCUCUAAAUCCCCCAUCAUAAGCAGCCAGCCGACCUCAGGCCCAGGAAGUGCUUGAGGACAUCCCUCCCCGUGCGUGCGUCUCCGCCGUGGUCCCCAGCACUUCUGCACCUGGACUUGGUCAUUUUACAGCCCGGCACUCGACCACAGCCGGAGGGAAGCGAGCUUCUCAUCCGAAGCUGUCUUCUUAGGUGCAAUAUGUAAACUGUCUUGAAUUCAGCCAUGGAAAGUUAAAUCCUGAAGUUUCAUCUCCCCAGUUCUGGGAUCCCAAGCCAGGAUCUGCCCAGAGCCAGCCUUUUAAAUGAACGUGUCUGUACAGUGGCCAGAAGAAGGCUCUGACCAGCAUGGGCUUUCAUCCCAUCUCCAGCUGGCCUGAAGCUCCUCACUGUGUUGUGACCUCGAGGACGAGGAUGGAAUUCUGGCAUGGAUUCCAAAGGUCUUAAAAGAUGGCAAGGAGGUACCAAGGAGGAGUUGAUGAAGUACUAGGAAACAAGCUAGCAACAACAAAC